rnacentral:rRNA from 1 species
CUACGGUAGGGCCGAUGAUUGGGGUGAAGUCGUAACAAGGUAGCCGUAGGGGAACCUGCGGCUGGAUCACCUCCUUU